CCUACGGGAGGCAGCAGUGGGGCAUGUUGCACAAUGGGGGAAACCCUGAUGCAGCGACGCCGCGUGAGUGAAGAAGUAUCUCGGUAUGUACAGCUCUAUCAGCAGGUAAGAAAAUGACGUUACCUUACUAAGACGCCCCGGCUAACUACGUGCCCGCAGCCUCGGUAAUACGUAGGGGGCAAGCGUUAUCCGAAUUUACUGGGUGUAAAGGCAGCGUAGACGGCGGUGCAAGUCCGGAGUGAAAGCCCAUGGCUUAACCAUGGUACUGCUCUGGAAACUGUGGAGCUUGAGUGCGGGAGGGGCAGGCGGAAUUCCUAGUGUAGCGGUGAAAUGCGUAGAUAUUAGGAGGAACACCGGCGGCGAAGGCGGCCUGCUGGACCGUAACUGACGUUGAGGCUCGAAAGCGUGGGGAGCAAACAGGAUUAGAUACCCGGGUAGUC
rnacentral:rRNA from 1 species